rnacentral:rRNA from 1 species
UACGGAGGGGACUAGCGUUGUUCGGAAUUACUGGGCGUAAAGCGCACGUAGGCGGAUUUGUAAGUCAGGGGUGAAAUCCCGGGGCUCAACCUCGGAACUGCCUUUGAUACUGCAAAUCUCGAGUCCGGAAGAGGUGAGUGGAAUUCCUAGUGUAGAGGUGAAAUUCGUAGAUAUUAGGAAGAACACCAGUGGCGAAGGCGGGUCUCUGGCCGAUGA